AAGCAUAUCAUAGGGGGGGAGAGGAAG
rnacentral:rRNA from 1 species